rnacentral:rRNA from 1 species
AUUGAACGCUGGCGGCAUGCCUUACACAUGCAAGUCGAACGGCAGCACGGGUGCUUGCACCUGGUGGCGAGUGGCGAACGGGUGAGUAAUAUAUCGGAACGUACCUUAUUGUGGGGGAUAACGAAGCGAAAGCUGUGCUAAUACCGCAUAAUCCCUAAGGGGGAAAGCGGGGGACCGUAAGGCCUCGCGCAAUUAGAGCGGCCGAUAACUGAUUAGCUAGUUGGUGAGGUAAAGGCUCACCAAGGCAACGAUCAGUAGCUGGUCUGAGAGGACGAUCAGCCACACUGGGACUGAGACGCGGCCCAGACUCCUACGGGAUGCAGCAGUGGGGAAUUUUGGACAAUGGGGGCAACCCUGAUCCAGCAAUGCCGCGUGAGUGAAGAAGGCCUUCGGGUUGUAAAGCUCUUUUGUCAGGGAAGAAACAGCAGCUCUAACACAGUUUGCGAAUGACGGUACCUGAAGAAUAAGCACCGGCUAACUACGUGCCAGCAGCCGCAGUAA